rnacentral:rRNA from 1 species
GACGAACGCUGGCGGCGUGCUUAACACAUGCAAGUCGAACGGAAAGGCCUCUUUCGGGGGGUACUCGAGUGGCGAACGGGUGAGUAACACGUGAGUAACCUGCCCUUGACUUUGGGAUAACUUCAGGAAACUGGGGCUAAUACCGGAUAGGAGCUCCUGCUGCAUGGUGGGGGUUGGAAAGUUUCGGCUGUUGGGGAUGGACUCGCGGCUUAUCAGCUUGUUGGUGGGGUAGUGGCUUACCAAGGCUUUGACGGGUAGCCGGCCUGAGAGGGUGACCGGCCACAUUGGGACUGAGAUACGGCCCAGACUCCUACGGGAGGCAGCAGUGGGGAAUAUUGCACAAUGGGUGGAAGCCUGAUGCAGCAACGCCGUGUGCGGGAUGACGGGCUUCGGGUUGUAAACCGCUUUCGCUCAUGACGAAGCUUUGUGUGACGGUAGUGGGUAAAGAAGCACCGGCUAACUACGUG